CUCUUUCAACCAGCAGCUCCGGGUCUGGGAGGUGUCUUUUGAAGACAAAGCUAUUUCUAGCUUUCCAGAUUUCCCAGAGGACUACCGAGAUUAAUUCUACACCAGUGCAAAAGUAGGUGUUCCGGGGUCUCCACAUGCACUCGGCAGAUUGGGCAUAGAGGGUCAGAUUCUGUUCCAAAGUUGAGUUGGGGGUUGAAGAGAGGAAGAGGCGGUUUGAGCUUCUGUUGUUUCUUUUGUGCGUAGGGUGUUGUAUCUGCUCUUUACCGUGUACUCUCCUUCCCGCGUACCUGUCCAGAUCAAUUUAUCUUCAUUAGUCUGUGGUCUAAUUGGUAUGGUAAGGAUCUCGCGCACCACCUGUUCUUGAAAUAGUCUUCGCAGGGUCUGUUAUUUCCAGAUGUUUGCCUCUUGAUCCACCAGUUCAUACACCAUAGUUGGGUCUCCUUCAUUCGCCCGUCCCCCUAAAAUUCCACUUUUGAGCCACCUAUCCUCCC